CUGAUCAAAUGGACCAUCAGGAGGUGGGGGGAGGGGGGGGGCUGCUUUAAACUCGACCAUAAUGACAGCUUUCCUCAUCUUACAACUGCGACAUGAAGAGGGAGCUGUAGCUCUUCUGAGACACAGCUUUGCCUCAACCAGCGUACCCAGCCAAGCGCCCCGAUCUCCUCUCUCCUUCCUCGCUCUCCUCCGCUCCCCUCUCUCCUUCACUCACUCACUUACUCUUCCUUUUUUUUUCUUCUUCUUCUGUUUCUUUUUUUUUUUUAUCCCGGUGCCCCUGUGCCAGUUAAUUUAUAUGUAUCUGUUCAAGUGGAGAUAAUCCAUGCAAAUCAGAGGCUCUGGCUCCCAGUGCUUGAUUCACAAAGAGAACUCAGCUUCAGGAGGUCACUCGUUCACAGCUGCUCCUCCCAUUAUAUUUUUCCCUUAUUGCAGAACUGCUGCAUGUAUACAGUGACUGAAAGGACUCAAUUUACUGCAACUGCUGCCUGGUUUUACUUACAACUUUCUUUAAAAGGGGACUUACCUUCUAUCAGUCUUACUAAGGUCACAGAACUGGCCUGCACCAACCUUCUCCAUAGUUUCAGUAGCUUCUGCACUUCCUGACCACAUUUACAGCAGAUUCUAAUUAUAUCCUGAACUAAAAAGACCAUCUCCAGAUGAUGCUCCUACCAUUCCUCUUUAAUGAGAUAAAUGGCGAAGUGAACCAGCCAGCUUUUAUAAUGUUGUGAAUUUGACCCAGCUUUUGUGUUGUAGAAAAUGAAUAUUAUGUAUUUUGAGUGAAACAGGAAUGGAAUACUGAGGUAGAGUUUGCCAAAUCUUAGGUGAAUAGGUAUUUUGCCUGACUUUAUUGCAUUUUGAUCAUUUCAUGAAUGCCGCAAAAUGCUGACUAGCAUAAUAAAAAUUGAUAUUUAUAUUGACAUUUCAGGAUUCUAAAUAGAAGCUGUGAAAAUCUAAACAGACUUUGGUAUCUCCACAGCUGUUCCUUCAAAUCCAUCUGAGUUCUGGCUAAUUCAUUUUUUCUACCCACAUACCCUCAAUUGGCCCUAAUAUAAACAUCUCUCUCUACAGCAAUUUCUCCCCGGAAGAUUAUGCACAUCUUCAUCUUAAUUCAGAAUUUACAUGCGUACUUUGCAUAUUUUUGCAUCAGUAUGUGUGUUUUAAAUUAGAUAAAGGUCACUGUCAUUCAUAAUCAAGAAGAAGGUGUAUAAAAGGUCAGGAUUCAAUAAAAAAACCUGAUUAGAUGUAGAGGUUUGUUCGUAUGAUUCAGUAUAUCAUUGGAUAAGUGGAAAUCAUGAGUCAACAAAUUAACCUUGGUAUAAUGGGUUACUUGCUUCAUUAGGAUCAGAAAUGAGAUUCACAAUUUUUUUUCCAGUGCACUCCUUGUUUGUCUCUGUAAUAAGAAGAAAUACUGUGGUGUUGAUAGGUACACAACUGAGUAUUUUUAUAAUUUCUCUUGCUUAAAAUGCAAUACAAAUGGCAAUUCUUGUGUUAAAAAAGGAACUGAGGCACCAAAUACAUUUGCUAUGUAUAUAAAUAUCGAUGAAAUGAAAAUUAUCGACUGUAAAAAUAAGCUAAUUUAAAAUAAUGGCAUAUAUUUUUUAUACAAGUUUUAUCUUAAGCAUAUUAAACAACCGGUGAUAAGUCAGGCUCUCAAGGUCUAGCAUUAAGAGGAGAUCCAGAUGCAAAUGAGCGUGAACUAAAAGCAAGGAUAAACCUGCACUCCACAUAUUGGUUCUGCCACCAACUUUCCACAUGUUCUUGGGCAAACCACCUGCAUUGACUAUGCCUCCACUUCCAUCUGCCAUACAGGAAAAACAGUAACAGUGCUUAUACUGCAGGACCAUUUCUGUUUCCGCAGACAUGGAUUUACCAGGAGGUCUAAGGAGAUGUUAGGCUUUUCACCACUGCCCUGUUCCAUACACCGUAUUCCUGGUCACUUAUUGCAGUCAAAAUGGCAGGGCUGUGGACCUCUGCACAUGAAAACAUCUGAGGAUUUUCAGUAAUAUUCUCCAGGAUAGAUGGGAAAUAUCAGAAGUCCUUAUUUAGGAGUCCAUAUUUACAAAAUAAUCUGUCCUAGGAAAGACAGCAUCAUUAAUACAAGAUGAUCAUACCAUAUACUCAACUUCAGACUGUACAAACUUGGUGCAGUUUUCAUGAUUCCACUGUAAACUUUUC